GUAGGUGAACCUGCGGAAGGAUCAUUACCGAUUUUAGCGAACAUGGCCUUUGGUCAUGGUCUCGCGAAAAACUUGUAUUUAAAACCCCACUCUUAUAACGAAAUAUUUUGUAUAUAUAAUAAAAUAAGAUCACUUUCAACAACGGAUCUCUUGGCUCUC
rnacentral:misc_RNA from 1 species